UAUGCAGACAGAAUCCUGACAGCUAAGGGACAUACUCCAUCCAUUAUGACAAAAUAAGCCAAGCUAUGAAAGAAUAGAAAGUUACAUUUUAUGUCAGUGAAAAUUUGGCACAAAAGGCACACAGUCUGGACUAGACUAGAUUUACAAAUUUCUUUAAGAAGUAUAAAUUUUCUGAGGAGAUAACAGAACUAUAAUUAUGCCUUGUGAGAGGGUGGUGAGGCACUGGAACAAGUUGCCCAGAAAAGCUGUGUAUGUCCCAUUCCUGAAAGUGUUCAAGGCAAGGCUGGGUAGAGCUCUGAGCAGCCUGGCCUAGUGAAAGUAUGUGGCAAGUAAGUUGGAACUAGAAUAUAUUUAAAGUCCAUUCCAACCUAAACCAUUCUGUGAUUCUAUGAAUUCCAGUGUUUUGAAUCCUGUUUGAGCACUGAGGCACAUUUAGUAACUCAGCCACUAAGUUUUUAUAGGUACUAUUUUGAAGCUCUAGGUGGCUGUCUUCUCAGAUCUGGAAUUGUGAAGUGGUAUUCUUAAUACCUUAAGUGAAAAAGCAUGUGUUUCGUUAUGGAAAAGUCAUCUGCAUCAUUCUCAUUCAUCUUUUUAAUUCAAAGCAUUGUAUAUCUGUACAGAAAAUUUCAAUUUAUAUAGAAGAAUGACUAGUUUGAAUUAUACAUGUUUUCUGUUAAAAUGCAGAACUUGAAACAGAUGGAAGACUCUAGGAGUGAAUUUAAGAGAUUAACACACAACUCUUCACAUCACUUGGGAAGCUCUUUGUGAGUGUCCAGGUAGUAUGUGCUUAAUACAUCUUGGUGGUGCUUUUGUGUAGACUGAGAGAUGUAUUGAUUCAGUAGAAACACACAGUGUGGGCAUGUUUUUAUGUAGAUUAUCUCAUUGGUUAGCCGGUAUAGGUGUAGAGAAAAUCUUGAGGAUUUGAGAAAACAGAAUGGUACCCCAUUUGAAUUAAUUACCUUCAGCUUGUACUCAAAAACUUCCUCUGAUCAGAGGGCAAGAUUGUAUCAAAGAGUUGGCUUACCUUUUGUUUGUCUUACAAGUAAAGAUUAUUCAGCUUUGAAGGAAAAAAAUACUUUGUUAGAGCUGGGAUAGUUGUUUGAUGUGUCUGGAUCAAGUUGCCUGAGAAUGCAAGUAAAACAUAUAUGUUUGUAUGGUAAUUAUUAGAGAGGAUGAUAUCAGGUUUUAAAACUCAUAUUUAUCACUAUUACCUUGGAUUUUUCCUAUGUGAUGUUGAGUACUGUUCAAGCACAUGACUUCAGGCUGUUUUCAGUGUAUUUUCAAAUCAGCCAGGGUUGCUAGUCUAAAAAAUGUAUGUUGAAUUUUUGAAAGAUUGGGUUUGCCCUCAUUCCUUUGUGGUAGAUUUGCGAGCUGUCUGUGGAAACCGCUGCUUUAAAAAUAGUGUCAGACGCAUGUCAAGUACAAUGACAAUGCACGUUUUGCAAUGAGCAUUUGCUCAACACAAAGAGAUCUGUGAGAUCUAUUCUGUGGCAGUCGUGAAGGUGAUAACCCCUUACAAACAACACAUCUUGAGAUUAAUAAACACUACCUUGGUUUCAGCAUCUGGAGUGCGAGUUCCAUUUUGCAUAGAGUGACCUUGGUGGAAGCACUGAAACAGAGAAGUGUGUUUGUGUGCAUGUGCGCAGGUGUGUGCAACUGAAUUUAUGACUUGCUGUUAGUAACAGCUACAAGGAAAUAACAUCCCUCAAUAUUUCCUGCUUUCUUACUUUAUCAUUAUUCGUUCACAGCUUUAUUUAUCCAGGAAAUAUACAAACGAACAUCUUUACCUCUGUUGUUAUCAAUGUUGUUUCCUUUAAGAUAAUAAAAGAAAACAUGUCUGAAAUAUGACCUCAUACAUUUUUGUUCGAGGGCCAAAUUAGAUAGCUGCUGAUGUCAGAUGAAAGAUUGAUAUUGAAUUAAUUGAGUGUCUAGCCUUUAUUAACCUUUAUACAACGUGAGAUAAAUACUUCACUGCAGGUAACCUAUUGCAAUAGACAGCUGGCAAAAGGUGGUGUAUUUGUACCUUUUCCUGACUGUGGGUAUCUGAUUCUGAGUUUGUAUCCUUCCACACUGCGUCUUCUGGCUACUUCCUUUUGAAUGCAAUUCAUCUUCAUCAGUUUUCUACUGAAAGAACAGAACCUACUCAUCAGUUUUUCAGCCAGCAACACUUUUCAUUGUUGUUCAAGCAAAAAGCUUCUAAUGGCAGAACUAUUUUAUUUUUUAAGGAAACAUUGUAUGUUUACACUAUUAUACAUUAUGACUUUCCUAUGUGACUGGAAAAAUUUUAACUGUCAUUUUUUUAAUGGACUGACUCAGUAUUUUGAUUUAUUUUACUAGUGACUUUUAAAAUGUCCUGAAGAAGGACAGGGGUGUUAUCUACACCAUGUGUACACUGUUUCUUAGCUUCUGUUUGUUUGGUUCUGCAGAACUGGCUGACCUACAGGCAGCACCAUUAAGGAAAUGCUGUUCACAGCAACAUAUUUUCUUCUACUUUUGAAUUUAAGUUCUAUUUUUCUGAAGCAAUGAACAGUGUUGGAAUGCCUAUGAAGAAGCUUUUUACUAAGAGCCAAAGGUGGAGGAGCUUUAGAAUUUGCAACCAGAGGAUAUAAAAUUAAUAUUCUGAAGAGUCAAAAUUGAUUCUAGUUUUGAUCAUGUGAUGAAGUCACAGACACACACACACACACACACACACACACACACACACACACAGAGAGAGAGAGAAUAUCAAUAAUAAAACAUUUUCAAUUAAAAAAAUGAGCAAAAGAAGCAUCAUGAGAUGAAUAGACAUUUUCAGCUGCAGGGCCAAAUUAUUUCUAAGUGAAGUUUUUCUUCAAAUAGUUUGUACCCAGUGAGUGCCUUCUGACUCAUACCUUAGAGAAUGGAAGUAUUCUACAUGUUAAUUUUAAUAAAAUAGCUGAGUAGCACACUUUAGAACCUAGUUACAUAAUAAAGCCACAUAGCUCUGCAUUUUGAGACCAUUUGUUUUGUGAAUAUAGCAACAAGUCAUUCACAUCGUUUGCCAUACAAUAAUAGUCAGGGAGCUAUUUUAGGAGCAAUGGUCCUUACACUGCAGACAUCUAGCAAGACACUACAAAAUACAAUUUAUUUACUUCAGUGCUUCACAAAGAUUAACUUUAUCCUUGGGAGGCUAAUAACCCUAGGCUCCCUUAAUAGUCCAUGGAAAGAAAUAAGCUCUUUCAGUUGAUUCUGAGCAGACCCCUAGCUUGAAGGAUGCAGCCCAUUUGGAAAGAGUACAGAAGAGAUCAAGAAGAGAAUUCAAGACAGUGAUCUGCUUGUAAAGAUUGUGGAAAUUUGACUUGUCAUGAAGAGGGGCAAUGACAGAAGGAUAUGAUCAUUUUAAAAUACAUAACAGAGUGCUGUAAAGUCUGUUGCCCAUGUAGACAGUGAAUAAGAUAAAACAAUAAUAUAGUAAGGAAGGCUUAUAUUUAACAGUAGAAAAAUCUUCCAGCAGUAUACAUAUGGAAGCAUGCUGAAAGAUUUUCUCUCUGUAGAUUACAAAGGCUGUCAUUCAUGGGCUUAUAAAUUACUGCCAUAAAUAUAACUGAUUCCACCUGGAGAAAUCAGGAGAAUAGAUGAUCUGUGGACAGUUCUUAAAAUCCUGUGGUUUUAAAACUACCUUAAGCAUGGUUUUAUUUUAUGGAAUGGGUUAAGGAGAUUUCUGUCUUUAAAUGAACUUUAACUUUUGAAAACCAUUAUCUUUGUUUAGUGUGCUAGAAUAUCUACUGAAUGGUUAUCAGAUGCUUUGUUCCUUCCAAUAAGAGAUAAUCAGCCUAUGGAUUCUAGAAUUGAUUCCCUGCCUAUGAGCAGCAUUUCAUACAUCAUUCACUUGACACUAUAUUGUGUUCUUACAAUACACGUGUGUAUUAAGGCAUUUAAUAUUACCUUCAGUAUUGUCUUAGCUUUACUGAGAGAUUUGAUUCUCCAGUGAUCCUAUUUUUCCUAUAAUAAUUCAGUUUACUAAUAAAGUGUUCUGAAAUGUGAGUCAAGAUUUAUACCCAUUUUUCAUUCUAGUACUUAAAGCUUUUUCAAUCAUCUCUUCAUUCACUGCCCCUACUGAAAAAGUAGACUUCACUGAUAUCUUUUCAAUGCAACAAAUUUUUGGUCAUUGAUAUACAUAUGUAAUAGAGUAAAUAUUUGGCUUAUUUUUCUUUUAUUUUUACAAAUGAAGUAUAAAAUAUUUGUCAUGAGACAAUAUUUUCAAUUGAAUACUAUUUGUCUCUGUGUUCUUACAAACAAUUCAGUGGGUUUGAUCCUACUGGAUAUGAUAAUAUAUGCACUUUAGGUGAAAACACUAAUAAAUUUAACAAAAGGUGGGAGACUAAGGUUUCAAAAUGGGCUGUUUUCAUAUUUUAAAUUUAUAUAAACAGCAACAUCUUUAAUCAGUAAUUUAUUGAAAUGAAAGUCCUUCAGUAUGGUCCUCAAUUUGAAAUUCUCAAGAAGUUUUAAGGAUUGAGAUGUUAUGUUGUCAUUUCCUAGUGUUUCAACUGAAUUUAAAAUUUUUGCAAGCACUCUAAUUGCCAUUCAUAGGAUUAAAGUUUUAGGUUAGCUAGACUUUUAAUAGUGACAACACCGUGUUGCUGAUUAACACUUUUUCAGUAUGUACAAACUCAAUGAAUUGCUGUCCAACACCACUUUUUGUCCUUUUCUUAUAACAUUUAUUAAACUCUCCCAGGCAUUUUAUUUAAGUAUUUUAGCAAAGUUUAUCUCGUUAGAAAAAAGAAAGAAAUAAAAGUACUGUAAAAGCACACAAAUCUGAAUGUGGCUUAUAGGCAAUUUAAUGCCUACAAUAACUUCCUACAAUAGAAGUUCAAGAUAAUCCUAAUCUUAAUUUUGCUUUAUUCUACUUUAAAUUUUGUUUGGAAAAACUAUAUAGAAGUUUUAAGCAGCAUGAUAUUCUAUUUGUUUACAUUUUAUUUUUUCUUUUUCUGUAAAUGAAGUAGAGCAGUUAAUCUUUCUUUCCUCUCCCCUCUUCCCUAGUAGUACAAUAUGUACAAUUUAAGAGACUGCACAUCCUCCAGGUGAACUGAGGUGUUAGUGUGCUGUUGGAAACACACAGCAUUUAUACAUUGCAUAGC
ensembl:lncRNA